rnacentral:rRNA from 1 species
AGCAGCCGCGGUAAUUCCAGCUCCAAUAGUGUAUAUUAAAGUUGCUGCGGUUAAAAAGCUCGUAGUUGGAUUUCGGAAUGCGUUUCUACGCCAAAGCUCGUCCUUGUGGCGGUGCUGGGCGUGCGCUUCCUAGCUUCGGAUUGGCCAGCAAUGGUCUCCGAUCGUUUACUUUGAAAAAAU